rnacentral:rRNA from 1 species
CCUACGGGUGGCAGCAGUGGGGGAUAUUGCACAAUGGGGGGAACCCUGAUGCAGCGACGCCGCGUGGGUGAAGGAGUGCUUCGGCAUGUAAAGCCCUAUCGGCAGGGAAGAAGCAAGACGGUACCUGACUAAGAAGCCCCGGCUAACUACGUGCCAGCAGCCGCGGUAAUACGCAGGGGGCGAGCGUUAUCCGGAUUCACUGGGGGUAAAGGGAGCGUAGACGGCCAUGCAAGCCAGGGGGGAAAGCCCGGGGCCCAACCCCGGGACUGCCCUUGGAACUGUGCGGCUAGAGUGCGGGAGGGGCAGGCGGAAUUCCUGGUGUAGCGGUGAAAUGCGUAGAUAUCAGGAGGAACACCGGCGGCGAAGGCGGCCUGCUGGACCGCGACUGACGUUGAGGCUCGAAAGCGUGGGGAGCGAACAGGAUUAGAUACCCGGGUAGUC